UGAUCAUGGCUCAGAACGAACGCUGGCGGCAUGGAUUAGGCAUGCAAGUCGAACGAUGAAGCAGUGCUUGCACUGUUGAUUAGUGGCGAAAGGGUGAGUAACGCGUGAGUAACAUGCCCUCAAGUUUGGAAUAACUCCCCGAAAGGGGUGCUAAUACCGGAUGUGGUUGUUUUUACGCAUGUAUAAACAACUAAAGAUUUAUUGCUUGAGGAUUGGCUCGCGUCCAAUUACGCUUGUUGGUGAGGUAACGGCUCACCAAGGCUGUGACGGGUAGGUGGUCUAAGAGGAUGGUCACCCACACUGGGACUGAGACACUGCCCAGACUCCUACGGGAGGCUGCAGUCGAGAAUCUUCCGCAAUGGGCGAAAGCCUGACGGAGCAAUGCCGCGUGUAGGAUGAAGGCCUUUGGGUUGUAAACUAUUGUCACCAGGGAUGAAUAUUGACAGUACCUGGAGAGGAAGUACCGGCUAACUACGUGCCAGCAGCCGCGGUAAUACGUAGGGUACAAGCGUUGUUCGGAUUUAUUGGGCGUAAAGGGUUCGUAGGGGGUUUUUCAAGUCUGAUGUGAAAUCCCGUGGCUUAA
rnacentral:rRNA from 1 species